CCUACGGGAGGCAGCAGUAGGGAAUUUUCGUCAAUGAGCGCAAGCCUGAACGAGCAAUGCCGCGUGAACGAGGAAGGUCUUCGGAUCGUAAAGUGCUGUUGAAAGGGAAGAAGAGCGGCAAGAGGAAAUGCUUUCUGAUUGAUGUUACCCUUCGAGGAAGUCACGGCUAACUACGUGCCAGCAGCCGCGGUAAUACGUAGGUGGCGAGCGUUAUCCGGAAUGAUUGGGCGUAAAGGGUGCGUAGGCGGCUUGCUAAGUCUGGAGUUAAAUGUACGGGCUCAACCGCGACAGGCUCUGGAAACUGGCGAGCUAGAGAGAGAGAGAGGGAAGCGGAAUUCCAUGUGUAGCGGUAAAAUGCGUAGAUAUAUGGAAGAACACCAGUGGCGAAGGCAGCUGACUGGCUUGUUACUGACGCUGAGGGACGAAAGCGUGGGGAGCAAAUAGGAUUAGAUACCCCAGUAGUC
rnacentral:rRNA from 1 species